UACGUAGGGGGCAAGCGUUGUCCGGAAUUAUUGGGCGUAAAGAGCUCGUAGGCGGUUUGUCGCGUCUGCUGUGAAAACCCGAGGCUCAACCUCGGGCCUGCAGUGGGUACGGGGCAGACUAGAGUGCGGUAGGGGGAGAUUGGAAUUCCUGGUGUAGCGGUGGAAUGCGCAGAUAUCAGGAGGAACACCAAUGGCGAAGGCAGAUCUCUGGGCCGUAACUGACG
rnacentral:rRNA from 1 species